GACAGAGGUGCCAAGCGUUAGGCGGAAUCACUGGGCUUAAAGCGUGUGUAGGCGGGUCGUUAAGUACCUUGUGAAAUCCCACGGCUCAACCGUGGAACGGCUGGGUAUACUGGCGAUCUUGAGCCACCUAGGGGCAGUCGGAACAAGUGGUGGAGCGGUGAAAUGCGUAGAUAUCACUUGGAACGCCAAUGGUGAAAACAGGACUGCUGGGGGUGUGCUGACGCUGAGACACGAAAGCCAGGGGAGCAAACGGG
rnacentral:rRNA from 1 species